CCUACGGGAGGCAGCAGUGGGGAAUUUUGCGCAAUGGGGGCAACCCUGACGCAGCAACGCCGCGUGGAGGAUGAAGUCCCUUGGGACGUAAACUCCUUCGAUCGGGACGAUUAUGACGGUACCGAGAGAAGAAGCCCCGGCUAACUUCGUGCCAGCAGCCGCGGUAAU
rnacentral:rRNA from 1 species